CAUUUAUAUGCUGGCAGAAUUUGGGUGUGGGUGGAGUGCUGGGCCUUCCAGCAGGGCCGGGACUCGGCCCACCCCCAUCUGGAGAAGGCUCUAGAGAUCUGGGCCCGAAGACCAGGUCUGCUUGGAUCAGUUCAGCUGUGACAUCUCUGCAAACGGUUUAUUUUAGAUCUUGCAGUCUUCGUUUCUAGAAUUUCCAUUUGAGUCAGGUUAUUUUAUCCUCAUUUUUCUGCUGAAAUAUCUAUAUCUGUUCACUCAUGACUUAUUUCCCUUCUUAAUCCCAGAACUACUUAUGAUAACUCUGUAGAAGUUUCUACAAACUCAUUCUAAUGUUGUAGUUUGGAGGGGACCAGUUUGUAUUGAUUUACAAUAAAUUAUUAUAGGUCUACUGUAUUGUCUAUUGGGAACAAUGGAUGAGACAUUGUAGGGAGAACUUUAUGUUUUCUUCCUUUAAAGAGUAUUGAGUUUUGUCCUGGUAGAUAUUAAGCUUCUUUUGUCCUGGUAGAUAUCUCUAUGGAUCAUCUUGGUGCUGGCAGGCUAAUUUUUUCUUGGCUCUAUUUGUUUUCCCCUUGGGUCUUGUAUGCUGAGUAUGGCAGUUACUCUAAGGCAUGAUUGUUACUCCUAAGGCAUUGUCUUUUUGAGUUCAUUCCCAAAUGCUUGAAGUAUUUGCUGAGGCCUCUCUCCCUUUGGUGGGACUGGGACUCUCUCUCUCUUUGAGACCCCCAAUGGCCUGUAGUAACUUUACCUCUCACCCUACAGCGGUCACUCUCCAGGCUUCUGGAGUUUUGUUAUAACAGCCUUAUCCUCACUCACUCAAAUGCCUGGGGUGAAGCCUUGUAGACAUCAGUCUCCUGCGAGCACAACCCUCCUCUCUUUGCUGCUCCAUUAUUUGCUAGACCCACCAGAACAAAGAACCACAGAGUUGCUUAAACAACAGGAAUUUGUUCCUCACAGCUUAGGAGGAUCAAAGGAGGAGAACAAAGUGUCCAAAGUCAUAUCCUCAUAAGGACACAGGUCAGAUUUGGUUUGGCACCUACCCUGAUGGGCUCUUAUUAACUUAAUCCCCUCUUUAUCUCCAAUGAUAUCACAUUCUGACUUACUGCGUCAAGUGUACAACGCAAGUGUAAUCUGGAGAGAAUGAAACCACACAACUCAACCUUUGACAACUAACUCUCCAGCUCCUCAGAUACUAGCCACCUUGGCAUCCCUGAGCUCUGAUCUCAGCCAUCUGGAAAAAUACCUCAGUAGAAAUCCCAGACCACUGUGGGUUUUACUUCCUGUUUAUACUUUUCUCGGUAGUUCCCGCCCUGUGCCAUGUGUUCCUGUAUGUCCCUCUCUCAAUGGUUCCCACCCUGUGCCGUGUGUUCCUAUGUGUCCUUCUCUCAAUGGUUCCCACCCUGUGCCGUGUGUUCCUAUAUGUCCUUCUCUCAAUGGUUUCCACUCUUUGUCACUUGUUCCUGUAUGUCCUCUUCUCAAUGGUGCCCAUCCUAUGCUGCAUGCUACCCAUAGUAUGAAGGCUGUGGUUUCUUCUGUUUGUUCAUGUCCCAACCUCAGACUCUUUCCAGCCUGAGAAUGAAAAGGCAGCACCUGCCUCUUACCUUUUCCACACAAGCCCAGUGCUCAGCUGUGCCCAUGAUGCCAGGAAACAUCCCCCCACACUCCUGUUCGAGUGCAGCUUUCCUCUCCUGAGUGCCCCUCACUCUGUUCUUAGCAAAUGACUGGGUGGUGGCCUGACUUCUUCAACCAUCAGCUCCUGCAAUCCCCUGCUCGUCUGGCUCCUGCAGACUCCAGAGGGAUUGGUGGUCUACAGCCUGCCCUUUGCUCCUUUCUCUGCCUUUUUCUCUCUGAGCUGUACACGUUGCCCCAGCAAGAAGAAAAUCAAACUUCUUCAGGAGGACUGAGAGACAAAGAGAGGCGAGGCAGAAAUGGAAGACAGUGAAGGAUCAAAGAGAGAGAGAGAGAGAUAGAAGCCUCAGUGCAGGAUCUGCAUGCGGGAGACCCAGCUCCCAUUCCUGUCACCCCCUGAUCCAUUGAACACCACUGGGAGCACUGAGCAAUAGUUCUUGAGCACCUCUAGGUUUGACCCCCCCACCCCCCCCACACACAACCAAUCGACCAAAUUAGAGAGAGAGGUCAAGAGGAGGUAGCUUGGAGAAAAGGAGAGAAAGUGGAGGUGGGCAGAGCAAGCUUUCCCUGGGAGUCUCAAGAUGGUUGUGACCCCAAGUCUGGAAAUGUCAUUUGCAGUCAGAAUCAUGACCCCUUCUUCCCCCAUUCUCCCCUGGGGGUGUUGGGAAGCAGGAGCUGGACACAUGAUGAAGGUGGGGGAUGCCUGGACAGGGGGUGAAGGGAGUCAGGGUAACUUUCUGGAGUCUGGUACUCCGUCAUCCAUCGGGGGCCUUGAUGAGUUAGAAACCCCAGAACAGGAAGCCACGUGGAUAUCUUUGCAGCCUGGGAUGAGGUCACAGUGUGACGGGCAUGGCUGGAGCAUGAGCAGAAAGUGGCCGUGAAAGGUGACCAUCCCCCUGCAGACCCAGGUGCCCUCUGACCCCCCAAACCCUCUGCCUCUGUUUCUAGGGCCUAGCCUCCCUUCAGACCAUCUCCUCAGCCCGCCUUAUGGGUGAAGCAGCUCUCAGCUCUGGGCUGUGCUCUGCCCACGGGGCUGUGCCCCACAUCAUGCCCACAGGCCUCUCUGGGCUCUUAACAGAGCACAGACCUCUGAUUAUGCUAGGGCGCAACAAGCCAACUUCCACCAUAACCCUGAAACAUUUUUUUUUUUUUGCUUUGAGGGUAACACCCAGCAAUGCUCAGAGGUUACCCUGGCUCUGCACUUAGAAAUUAUCCCUGACAAUGCUUGAGGGAUCAUAUGGUAUGGAGAGGAUUGAACCCCAGUCGGCUGCUUGCAAGGGGUUCCGCAAUGGGACUGGGGAUCACUGAUGCCAUGGAACAAAGGAUAGCGCUAAGCUUCACACACACCCAGCCCCACAGCAAGCACUGAGGCCUCGAGAAAACCCCAGGGCUAGACCUUCCGAACCCCAAUCUCAACGGGAGACUAUGAUGCUCCACGGUCAAAGAGGACACAGGAAGAUUGAGCAGUUUCAAGCAGCCCCGUGAUAGGCACUCGUCAUGGUUCUGACUCUCUCACCUGCACCGGCCAUGGACCAGAUCCAAUCACAGAUGGAUGACAAGAAGCAAGCACCAGGCUCUCCAGAAAGUUCACUGAGGAGUGUCAGGUAGAGAGCCCCAGAGACCAACGGUGCUUACAACGUUAUCUCAAAGUUUUUAUAGGUUUUUUGUUUGUUUGUUUGUUUACUUGGGGGGCCACACCUGGCGAUAUUUACGAGUUACUCUUGGCUCUACACUCAGGGAUUACUCCUGGUGGUGCAUAGGGGACCAUACAGAGUGCCAAGGAUCUAAGCAGGGUCAGCCUCAUGCAAGGCAAAUGCCCUACCUGCUGUAGUAUCACUCCGGCUCCUCAAAGUUUUUACAAAGAAUAGAUUAUGGCCCCCCAGUGAUUCACUGACCAUUGACUUCAGCUAGAUGCUGUGAGACUGGACCCCUUUUCUUCCCCUGGAUCGCAGCCCUUUACUGUUUAACUUACUUUCCCAGCCAGUCUUACAUAAAACUCUAGCUCAAGGGUAAAAGUGACUGUGGUUAGGCCAAGUUCGCUGAUUUCUAAUAUUUCUAGCACCUGAAUAAAGUUUUUACCAUCCUACCAUCAAUUUUUAUCUUUCUUAAUAAAUAAAUAAAUAAGAAACCAUCCUCAGUGGCACUUACGGAACACCAGGGCUACACCUGGCAUUUGUUCUCAGGGUCCAUGUAGUGCCAGUGGUAGAACUCAGGGCCAUGACACUCUAAGCUUGUGUUACACUAAGCUCUACCAUUUGAGCUAUCUCCUCAACAACCCUAAUUGACUCUUAUCUCCCAAGUUUUGGCCUCCAAAUUGCAGAAAGCUAGCAAUUGCACCUUAGAUUUACUAACAACCUUUGGCAAGCCAGCCAGGAGUGAUUGUGAGUCCCCAGAGAGUAACUUAGCUCUCCUGGUUCCCAAAGGCAGGAGACUUUGGCCACAGUAGCACCAGGGUAUAUCUGACUGUGAAAAGCAACUGCAUCUGGCAUGCGCUCACAGCUGCUGCCAAGACCUGUUUGUCUAGGGGACUUUCUCUUCCCUCUUCACAGCACCAGCUGCCCUGUGCAUGCUGUUGUCGGCGGAAAACUGUUUCACUUGGAAAAGAGUCAAUCAUCUCCAAGACUGGUUAGGUCUCAACACACACAACCCAAAAUUCUCUGUCCUCGCCCUUUGGGUUCUUUGUCCUUUGGAACUCUCGGGUCAUUUGCAGAAUCAGGAGAGGGGGGCACAGGAUUUUAAAAUCACUGUAGCAAGGGCUUGAAUUUACUCUGCUGUGUUUGGGAUCUGGUUUUGCUCUGUGCUUCUUUUGCUACAGCUGUAAGGAAGUACCGGACCAUCUAAACAACCACUGGUUGACGUUGGCAAGAUGUAAGCAUGAAAUAACCAUUAACGGUAUUGCAAACCACUGUGUAGAUUAAAAAUAUCACACAAUAAAAAAAUCACCUAGCUUAUUAGACCACACACACUUACAAAUGUUUGAAAAGAAUUUCCUAUUGCAGUGGGGGAAGUCUGUGAACUGGUCAUCUGCAAGUCCUAGGAGUCCCUCCCAUUGGAAAAUUACCCACAUUCCACUCACUGGAUCGAUGGGAACUGGGAGAUUCCGUCAGUUGCCUGAGUAGGUGAAGGAGGCGAUUACUAUGAUGAAAAUCAGAUCUGCUUGUGUAUGUGUUUGUAAUGUCUCUCUUUUACAUUUUGUUUCUGGGUGAAAUUAUUAGAAUAACUGACCAAAACUCUUUAAAAUCUGGAAGAGCUUUUGGAAAAUAAAUACUGACGUGAAAAUAAAGGAUUUAGGGGCUGGAGAGAUAAUACAAUGGGUAGGGUACUUGCCUUACAUGCAACCUAUAUGGGUUUGAUUACCAGCACUUCAUAUGGUCCCCUAAGCCUUGCCAGGAGUGAUUCCUGAGCAUAGAGCCAGAGGUAAGCCCUGAGUACUGCCAGAUACAGUUUCCUCAACCUACCAAUAAAAUACAAAAAAUAAGAUCCUAUACUUUUUCUGGAGCGAUAGCACAGCAGGUAGGGUGUUUGCCUUGCAUGCAGCCAACCCGGGUUCGAUUUCUCCAUCGCUCUUGGAGAGCCCAGCAAGCUACCGAGAAUAUCCCGCCUGCACGGCAGAGCCUGACAAGCUACCCGUGGUGUAUUAGAUAUGCCAAAAACAGUAACAACAAGUCUCACAAUGGAGUCAUUACUGGUGCCUGCUCAAGCAAAUCGAUGAACAAUGGGAUGACAGUGCUACAUUUUCUAAAUUAUACUUUUAUUCCAUCAUAUUUUUAUGGUUAUUGGUCAAAAUUCUCUCUUGUUGUCUAACAGAAGUAACUGAUUUGUUUUGACUAAUUCUAUCAUAGAGAACCAUUAAAUACUUGAACAAUUUUUCUAAAACAUUGGUUACUUAGUUUGGUUUUAUUUUUUGAAAACAGGAAUUUAGAUUUAUGAGUAAAAUAUUACUAUGCCACAUAGAAAAUUACACUAUAAGAAAAUACAAGGCUGGAGCGAUAGCACAGCGGGUAGGGCGUUUGCCUUGCCUGAGACUGACCCAGGUUCGAUUCCCAGCAUCCCAUAUGGUCCCCCAAGUACUGCCAGGAGUAAUUCCUGAGUACAUGAGUCAGGAGUAACCCCUGUGCAUUACCUAGUGUGACCCAAAAAGGAAAAAAAAAGAAAAUACAUAGUUAGGACUGAAGACUGAAGACGUUUCAAUGGGCUGGAACAUAUAUUGUGCAUGAAGGAAGCCAGGGCUUAAUCUCGGCAUCACAUAGCCCCCAAGCCCCACCAAGAGUGAUCCCUGAGUACUGAUCCAGAAGUAUCCCUUGAGUACUGCUAAACAAAUAAACUAACAACAGAAAUGAAUAAAACACAUGUUCAGAUUACUUUGGGGGAAAUUUAACAACUUUUUAACAAAUGACAUUGUUCAGAUUACAACUUUAAAAUUAAAAAUUACCUUAAAGGGAUAUGUAGUCUAAGAAAUCUAUGAAAUUAUAACCAACAAGAUGAGGAGAAUCAUCCUAAACAUCCUAAAAAUAGUAAAUGCAUAUUUUAAGUAAUUAUGUAAAGAAUGAAGUUGGGUUUUCUUUUUUAGAGAAAAUAAGAAAUUCUGUCUUAAAGUAAAACAGACUAUGAAUAGAAUUAAGGAGAAUUAUAGGACCAGAUGAAAAUGUGAAACAAACUGGAAAAUCAAAGGCCUAAGGAAAGAUAAAAUCUUUUCUUGAUUAAAUAAAUAGAGAACGUUUUAGAAGAACUCCUGGGACCGGAACGAUAGCACAGCGGGUAGGGCGUUUGCCUUGCACGCGGCCGACCCGGGUUCGAUCCCCGGCAUCCCAUAUGGUCCCCCAAGCACCGCCAGGAGUAGUUCCUGAGUGCAAAGCCAGGAGUAACCCCUGAGCAUCGCUGGGUGUGACCCAAAAAGCAAAAAAAAAAAUAGAAGAACUCCUAAAAUACCCCAAAAUAAUUAUUCUCUCUUCAUGAAAAAGAGAUCCCUAUGGAAUGGGCCUAUUUGAUAAUUAAAAUUUUAUGAGACGCAUUGUCACAAAGAAGAAAUGUUAACCUUCUUAACAUAUAUGUAAAUAUAAUGGGUAUUCAAGAAUUAUGCAGAACUGACCCACAUUCCGCAGCUUCUGCCAUGGAAAUGGCCCAGCUUCACUCCUUCAUAAUUAGUCUUGACAGAGCUGCCAACCCAAUGAAAUUCACAGAUACACCCAUCUCUUGGCUGAAAAAUCUGGGGCAUCCCCAGGAAUUGUCCCAGUUUCAGAUCAUUACAGAGCCAGGAGCUCCUGGAAUGCGCGGCCACAUAUGCAGCCGUGCAACACCUCCAAAUUCCACAGAACUGACAGCCCAGUAGGAGCACAGCAAAUUAGAUAGAAAAGUAGCGUAGACACCCACUAAGCUCAAUAAAUGAAACAAUAACACAGAAGGCUCAGCUAGCACUAAACAGCUCAGUAAAUCCUCAGGCCAUUACUUGAAUACCACCACUGUGAAAUACAGCAAUUUCACAAAGUUUCUUUUGCGGAAAUAUAUACAUAUAUAUUUUUGCUAUUUCCAUUUUGUUGCCACAAGCAAGAUAAAGUAUAUUACUUUGCUAAGGGAGCAGUUAUGCAGAAGUGAGUGGAAAUCUGGGGAUAAUGGUGGAGGGAAGAUUACACUCGUGGUGGGAUUGGUGCUGGAGUGCUGAAUGCCCAAAGCAGCUGCAUUACGAACAUCUUUGUAAAACCACGGUGUUUAAAUAAAGUUAGGGAAAAAAUACACGAAACUUCAUGAAUCUAGUAGGUUCUCUUCAAUUCUGGGUAUUAUGCUGGAAUGUUAUGUGCUGUGGUGCGAGUCACUUGACGAGAAUUUUGAUUAUGGUUAUUUGGUAUUGCUUGCAUUUUUCAGAUAUUGCUUUCUCUAUUUUUUGUGUGUUGAGAAGAAUUCACAUGAGAGGACUUAGACAAAUAUUCUAGAAUACAGAUAUGUCGUGGGAUGAAAUAAGAAUGAGAAGUUACAGAAAUGGAACAAUGUGCUCCUAAAAAUUGCUAACUGAAGAUUUAGAGUUUCUCCCUGGGAAUGAACAAAUUGGUGAGGAGAAGUAUAAUUUCUAACGAUUGUUUUGGGGAGGCCACACCCCGCAGUGCUCAGGACUUACUUCUGGUUCUGCAUUCAGGGAUCACUCCUGGUGGGCUUGGGGUCCAUAUCAGAUGCCCAGGAUCAGGCCUGGGUCUGCUGAGUGCAAGACAAGCACUGUACUAUCUCUCCAGCCCAAUUUUUUUCAAUUUAUAACAAUGUUUUUCUUCUCAUGUUUAAAACAUGUUUUUCCUUUUUGAACUGAUGCGACCUAUAGCAACCUAGUACACUGCACCAUUUUUCUAAAUAAAAGUGAAAUAUUUGCUUUUCUCUCUCCCUGACACCAUCAGAAUGAGAAACUUUAAGUAUUCUUAUUUAUCAAAGAAAUAUAUUUGGCAUCAAUUCAGAAGAAAUUAUUUUUUAUCUUUUAAUAAAUAAUUUAGACGCUGACUAUAUUAUCAAGACUCUGACUGUAAAGCCAGGGGCCAUACUGCUUCAACAAUUAAAUUCACUGUUGAGACAAAGAAGAGAAAACAGCCUAAUGCCUUGCUUAGGGGGCUCCAGUCUACUUAAGAGGGUGAUCAAGAGAGCCUCUUGGCUGACCCCAAACUCCAGCUCAUUUGAAUGACCUUGAAAAGAGAGUCCCAGAUGGUCAGGUAAAGUCAGAGGUUGAUUCCUGAGAACUCAAGCUGAGAUUCCUUAUAAAGGUUCCAGUAAAGCAGAUUAAAAGAAUUUAUAUGAUUAUUCCCAAUCUAAUGGUGUGUAUUCAAAAUAACAGGUCGUGAUGAUUAGAACUGAUUUGAAAAGAAAUCAAUUUUCCUAUAGUUAGUUGGUAGAAUUGGGAUGAAAAUGAAAAGCAUGGUUCAAUGACAUAUCUUUUUGCAGACAAAAGAUUGUGGUCCUCAAAAUUAUUUUUUUAAAGGCACAGCGGGUAGGGCGUUUGCCUUGCAUGUGGCUGGCCCAGGAUCGAUUCCUUCGUCCCUCUCGGAGAGCCUGGCAAGCUACCGAGAGUAUCCUGUCCGCACAGCAGAGCCUGGCAAGCUAUCCGUGGCGUAUUCAAUAUAUAAAAAAUAGUAACAACAAGUCCCAUAAUGAAGAUGUUACUGGUGCCCGCUCGAGCAAAUCGAUGAACAACGGGAUGACAGUGCUACAGUGCUACAUACUAUUUUUAAACCUGUGAACUGGAAUGCAUCCUGAAUUUUUCUAAUAUCUGGCCACAACUCUCCAAACUGGAGGUCCUAACUUGUCUUUCUGACUUACACUGAAAACUAAGAUUGAACUUCUUCCAAGACUCGUUAAGGUGGAGAUGAAGAACAUGAUAGAUAUUUUGAAGAAAUAAGCACAAUAAUGUGCCUGGACAAAAUUCCACAGAUUUAUGAAAAUAAACAACUGAGGGAUUGAGAUGGGCACAGAGGAAGCUAAGAGAUGAACUUGCCAGAGCACAGAGCCAAGAGUAGCUCCCAGGCUCUACCAGGUGUGGUCCAAGUAAAUGAAUUAAUUCAUUUUGAAAAGAUGGGUGAGAGGCAGUACAGCAGGGAGGGCACUUGUUUUGCAUGAGUCCAACUGGAGUUCCAUCCCCGGCAUCCCAUAUGGUCCCCGAACCCCUCCAAGAGUGAUCCCUGAGCAUAGUUGGUGUAGCCCCCAAACAGACAAACGAACAAACAAACAGAGAUGAACCUGACAACACAUUCCUUUGUGAACAGGCCAUAAAGUAAGUGCUGUACCCUUGUACCCUUGGGUACCCUUGGGUACAGCAAACACCAGACAUUUCAGUGAAUGGGCCUGGCGUACCCCCUGUUUUUCAGAGUAUUAGCUGGAACCCAAUGUUAUAUAUUGGAAGAAAUAUUAAAGUAGACCACUUUAGAGAUGAUCCUAACUUUCCUAGAUUUCUGAUUAAUGUUGACCUAUACUCCUUGCACAGAUAAAGACUUAGGGGAGAUUUAGAAUUUUUUUU